UCUAAUAUGGCAGAAUAUUAUGCAAUAAAUUUAAGAUUUAUAUAUAUGAUUACUUCAUUAUUAGAA
rnacentral:tRNA from 1 species